ensembl:lncRNA
GGCAGCACUCACCUAGGGGUCACUGAGGAUUUGGUUCAAGUCACAGUGCCUUUUCUGUCAGUGGUCUUCACUUGCUUUAUCUAGGAUCUGAGGAGCAGGAGCAAGGAACUCAGGGAGAGAUCCAGGAAGACUCUGACUGUGUUAAGAGAGGACAGACACAGGACACGGGAGCGAGGACACUUGCAGCAAAGUAAAAUGACUUCACAACUAUUGCAUCAGAGCUGCAGGUGUGAGAGAGCCUAAGCCUGUCUCAGAGUGCAGGGGACAAGAGGAAAGGAAUGGUGCCCUCACCUCCAGUGGCAUCCAUCCAGCACCAGCACUGACACUGGCCGUGCUCAGAACUGCCUCAGCCCUGAAGACACACAAGUGACAAUAGAAGGGGUCAACGCCCCUGU